AUUGAACGCUGGCGGCAUGCCUUACACAUGCAAGUCGAACGGCAGCACGGGUGCUUGCACCUGGUGGCGAGUGGCGAACGGGUGAGUAAUACAUCGGAACGUACCUUAUCGUGGGGGAUAACGCAGCGAAAGCUGUGCUAAUACCGCAUACGCCCUGAGGGGGAAAGCGGGGGAUCGCAAGACCUCGCGCGAUUAGAGCGGCCGAUGCCUGAUUAGCUUGUUGGUGGGGUAAAAGCCCACCAAGGCGACCAUCAGUAGCUGGGCUGAGAGGACGAUCAGCGACACUGGGACUGAGGCACGGCCCAGACUCCUACGGGAGGCAGCAGUGGGGAAUUUUGGACAAUGGGGGCAACCCUGAUCCAGCAAUGUCGCGUGAGUGAAGAAGGCCCUCGGGUUGUAAAGCGCUUUUGUCAGGGAAGAAACACCGGCUCUAACACAGUCCGGGAAUGACGGUACCUGAAGAAUAAGCACCGGCUAACUACGUGCCAGCAGCCGCGGUAAGAC
rnacentral:rRNA from 1 species